CCCGCCCACAGCUGUCAGCCACUGCCAUACAGAGCUGCCUGCUGGCCAGGGGAAGUUGCCCCUUCCUGGAGUCAUGAUGGGCAGCAAGAUGGUGUCUGCCACCAGGUUAUCCAGAAUUAAAAGAUGUUUCCGAAAGUCAGCUUCUAAAACCACAAACCGAGAAUAAAAAACCUGAGAAAAGACCUGGACAGUAUGGAAAAUUCAGACAAGAUAAACACCAUGCAACAAAGCCUACAGACAGAGAUGGAGCUUGCUACAGUUACUCAACAUGUGUUCCAGAACAUCAUUUUGGGGUGUAAAGUCAACUGGGCAGCAGAUCCAGCACUCAGGGAAACUGUUCUGCAGGUGAAAAGGCUCUCACCACAAUCUAACAAGAAUUCCACUGGGCCAGGUGUUGCCAUGUGUGCCUUUGAUCUCAGCACUCAGGAGGCUGAAACAAGAGGAUUGCCACAUGCUGAAGACCAGCAAAGAUUUGCACCUUGCAGUUUUUGGAUUUUUGUCUCUGAUAUGUCAUUUAAAUAGCAAGUUUCAAGUGAAAGGAAUUUACCAUCUUUGGGGAACUCUCCUAAUCUGUAAUUGCUUUUUAGCUUCAGUUAACACUCUAACCUAGAAUCGGUCAUUUUAAAUAACACUAAAGUGACUGUGUACUCUUAAAAGGGGAAUGUCUUAGUCAUGGAAAAGACACCUGGUCUGAUAUCUGAGGAGCAGGCGCAGUUUUGGACAUUCACAAGGUCCCAGCAUUUGAUUGUAAUACUUGUGUGCAUUUCUGCAUUUGUCAGUCAGGAUGCAGAGAGGUCUCCAGAGUGUCAGCAGCUGGUAUAAUUCGUAGUGGGGUUCUGAGUAACUGUCUUCUGUUCUCUCUGUGUCUGUUUCUCCCCUCACAAAUACCUCUGCUCACACACAUACAAAAAUGCUGGCUACACCCUGGCAAUGCUGAUGUACAGUGACAUCCAUGCCCAUUUUCAGUUCUGUUUGGACACAAACUCUUGCCAACUUACCAAGGCUGGCUUCAGACUUGGAACCCUCCUGAACAACUGAGAUUACAAGCAUGUACUGCCAUGUCCAGUACAGCUCUUUAUUAAUUAGAAGCUAUUGAUCAUAUUAAUGGACAGUGUGAGGUUUUCAGUAUUCUUAUUGGAAUAAAGUGAAACUUGAAAAGAUGCACUCAUUGGAUAAUA